AAAAAGACCGUCUCCUACGAUACUGAGGUGGCCGCUUUUGUGGAGAAGGGCAAGAUGAAGAAGGUCACCGGGGUCAAGAUCGAGGACCUGUACUCUUUGGUCGAGGUCUAUGUGGAUGAGUCUUCUGCUGAUGAGGUUACCAUCAAGACCGACACCGGUCUGUCUAACAUCCAUGAUGCGGUCGUGUUCGCUCUUGGGGAAUAG
rnacentral:rRNA from 1 species